rnacentral:lncRNA from 1 species
CGAUUUGCGUUGGCCUUGUAACGCGGGUGGAUGGGUUCUCCAGGUUGGUAUCCUGCGGUUGGCUUGCUGACCUCUCGGCCUCUUCGUCUCUCGGCCCCACUUUCGUUCCCUAAGAAGAGGUGAGACCGAACGGGCUCCCGGAGUGCACGGCCCCGGAAGGUCCGGCUUGAGGGUCCAGUCACCGGAAGUGCCGCCCCGGGCAGCGGAGUAAGGGAGCAGCGGUCCUCGCGGUUCUUGGCGAGGGAAGAAUUAAUUAUUGUGAGUAGUUCUGGAUUAGAGACCUUGUGGAUCCGAAAGAAUAAGUCUUUGGGUUCUUGUUAAGAAAGCCGUUUUUUUAAUUUUGAUUUUUCUCAAGACCAAAAAGUGAAUACUACCUGUCGUCUGUCUACAUUAUUG